GGUGUCCGAGUUGUAAUCUCUAGAAGUGUUUUCCGCGUUGGACCGCAACAAGUCUGUUGGAAUACAGCGGCAUAGUGGUGAGACCCCCGUAUAUGGUGCGGACGCCCAACGCUUUGUGAUACACUUUCGAAGAGUCGAGUUGUUUGGGAAUGCAGCUCAAAUUGGGUGGUAAAUUCCAUCUAAAGCUAAAUAUUGGCGAGAGACCGAUAGCGAACAAGUACCGUGAGGGAAAGAUGAAAAGCACUUUGGAAAGAGAGUUAACAGUACGUGAAAUUGUUGGAAGGGAAACGCUUGAAGUCAGACUUGCUUGCCGAGCAAUCGGUUUGCAGGCCAGCAUCAGUUUUCCGGGGUGGAUAAUGGUAGAGAGAAGGUAGCAGUUUCGGCUGUGUUAUAGCUCUUUGCUGGAUACACCUUGGGGGACUGAGGAACGCAGUGUGCCUUACGGCGGAUUUCUCGAGAUCUUCACACUUAGGAUGCUGGUGGAAUGGCUUUAAACGACCCGUCUUGAAACACG
rnacentral:rRNA from 1 species